AUUGAACGCUGGCGGCAGGCCUAACACAUGCAAGUCGAGCGAGCGGCGGACGGGUGAGUAAUGUAUGGGAAACUGCCUGAUGGAGGGGGAUAACUACUGGAAACGGUAGCUAAUACCGCAUACCAUCAGAUGUGCCCAUAUGGGAUUAGCUUGUAGGUGGGGUAACGGCUCACCUAGGCGACGAUCCCUAGCUGGUCUGAGAGGAUGACCAGCCACACUGGAACUGAGACACGGCCCAGACUCCUACGGGAGGCAGCAGUGGGGAAUAUUGCACAAUGGGCGCAAGCCUGAUGCAGCCAUGCCGCGUGUAUGAAGAAGGCCUUCGGGGUGUAAAGCACUUUCAGUGGGGAGGCGUUACUCGCAGAAGAAGCACCGGCUAACUCCGUGCCAGCAGCCGCGGUAAUUC
rnacentral:rRNA from 1 species